rnacentral:rRNA from 1 species
GACGAACGCUGGCGGCGUGCUUAACACAUGCAAGUCGAACGGAAAGGCCCUGCUUUUGUGGGGUGCUCGAGUGGCGAACGGGUGAGUAACACGUGAGUAACCUGCCCUUGACUUUGGGAUAACUUCAGGAAACUGGGGCUAUUACCGGAUAGGAGCUCCUGCUGCAUGGUGGGGGUUGGAAAGUUUCGGCGGUUGGGGAUGGACUCGCGGCUUAUCAGCUUGUUGGUGGGGUAGUGGCUUACCAAGGCUUUGACGGGUAGCCGGCCUGAGAGGGUGACCGGCCACAUGGGGACUGAGAUACGGCCCAGACUCCUACGGGAGGCAGCAGUGGGGAAUAUUGCACAAUGGGCGGAAGCCUGAUGCAGCAACGCCGCGUGCGGGAUGACGGCCUUCGGGUUGUAAACCGCUUUCGCCUGUGACGAAGCGUGAGUGACGGUAAUGGGUAAAGAAGCACCGGCUAACUACGUG